GAGAGCACAGUACGAUGAAAGUUGUAAGCUGUGUUCGGGGGGGAGUUAUUGUCUAUCGUUGGCCUCUAUGGUAGAACCCGUCGGGAAGGCCUGAGAGGCGGUGGUUUACCCUAU
rnacentral:ncRNA from 1 species